rnacentral:tRNA from 1 species
GCCAGUGUGGUGUAGUGGUUUGAGUGUUGGACUACAACUCUGGAGACCAGGGUUUGAUUCCCAGCUUGGCCA